GAAUUCACUAGUGAUUCAGGCCUAACACAUGCAAGUCGAGCGGUAGAGAGAAGCUUGCUUCUCUUGAGAGCGGCGGACGGGUGAGUAAUGCCUAGGAAUCUGCCUGGUAGUGGGGGAUAACGUUCGGAAACGGACGCUAAUACCGCAUACGUCCUACGGGAGAAAGCAGGGGACCUUCGGGCCUUGCGCUAUCAGAUGAGCCUAGGUCGGAUUAGCUAGUUGGUGAGGUAAUGGCUCACCAAGGCGACGAUCCGUAACUGGUCUGAGAGGAUGAUCAGUCACACUGGAACUGAGACACGGUCCAGACUCCUACGGGAGGCAGCAGUGGGGAAUAUUGGACAAUGGGCGAAAGCCUGAUCCAGCCAAGGCGCGUGUGUGAAGAAGGUCUUCGGAUU
rnacentral:rRNA from 1 species